GAUGAAUUUAGUAAGCGGAAGUGCUCAGUCACGGAGAUCACAAGGGGUUCAGGGUUUGUGAAAUACGAAAAGGGCAUUGAAGCCCAGAGCUGAGCCAGAGAAGAGCUACCUGGAAAUCCUAAUCAGAGGGAAGACCAAAUCCUGUUGAAAGAGACUGAAAUUAGAAGUGAGUUGAGGUUGGAAGGGAGUUUCAGAGAUGAUGGGGUACAGCCGCAGCCAGGAACAAUUCUGUCACAAAUUCCUGAUUUCUUGAUGAUGUAUUUCCUGCUUAUUUUGCAGCCUCGUUGUAAACCACUGACUAAUAAUUGAUCCCUAAUUUGCCCAAAGUCUCACUCUUCACUUCUCCUUCAACAUGGUGCUUGGGAAGUGCUCUGGGAAUAGGAGCUAUAGCCAUUUGUGUGGUGAUGUUGGGACAAGGGUUCAGGACAUGCUCCACGCACCUGGCUGGGUAGGUCCAGGGAGCAGGACCAGAACUUUUCCACAGACCUCUCUCCUUUUAAUUUUAGGAACCCUAAAGGUGGACUUACUCCAACCCAUUACAUGGGCAAUUUCAUUUCAAUGUACAAAAAUAGAAAAUGGGUGAAGGGUGUCAGUUGCACAGUGAUGGAUGACCUGAGAGCCUGAGAUCCUGGCUUUCGGAUGGCUUGACAGGGAGACAGCCCCAGCCAUUCCUCCUGGUUGCCGAUUUGCUAUGGUAUCACCUCCAGAUCCACACCGGCUCAGGCUGGAGGGGCAGUUGGAGUGAAGAGCCAGAUGUGCAGGAAGGCUGCAAAUGACCGGGCCCACUUGAGAAGCUGGAAGAACACUCCUAGCUGAAGGUACGAGGGCCAUCACCUCACUGAAGACUCUGAGGACAGAGCAGGGAGAGGACACCAAGGCUGUCAUAUGGCCCUGGAAUCGAGCGCCUGCUGUACUUGUACUGGGGUCGGGGCCGCAUCCCUGCCUGUAAGGGGAGGUGAGUCCUACUGUCAGUCAGCAGGUGAAGGGGUGGAUCUAUUGGACUGAAGAACAAACCUACAGAUAACCUGGCUCAGAGUUUCAACACUUCCACGCUGGCUGCCAGGAGCAAGCUGUGCCUCCUUCAGAGCUCUGACUCAAAAACCUUGCUCUCAGUUUCCCUUACUGCAGCUGAGAUAAGUUAAAUCCUGCUUGAAGACUCCAUUGAUGUUAAGAGAGGACAAGAGAGGAAUGACCAUAGAGAUUGUUAAGUAGUUGCUUAAUCACUCCUUUCUGCUCUCCAUCCCCAAACCAGCUCUCAAAUUCACACUUGCUUUGUCUCUCAUCUGGACUCUUCCAGCCACUUCUCAACUUGUUUGCCUAGGUCCCCUGCAAGCCAUCCUCCAGACCCUAGCUGAUCUCCGUUUAAAAUUCAUCGAUGCCCUCAAGGAACUGUGUUUCUAGACUCAUCUCCAGUCUGUCUCCUCACAUGUCCUCAUGGCAUUUCCCCACUUAAUGAGGUCCGGGAGAACAAGGUUAUCUCCCACACUGAUUUUGCCAGAGCAACUAUGCUAACACAGGGCACACAGCACAUGGGUCAUAGGUAUUUGCUGAUUCUAUUUCUU